GAGGUCUCAAGCGUUGUUCGGAUUCAUUGGGCGUAAAGGGUGCGUAGGCGGCGCGGUAAGUCGGGUGUGAAAUCUCGGGGCUUAACUCCGAAACUGCAUUCGAUACUACCGUGCUUGAGGACUGGAGAGGAGACUGGAAUUUACGGUGUAGCGGUGAAAUGCGUAGAUAUCGUAAGGAAGACCAGUGGCGAAGGCGGGUCUCUGGACAGUUCCUGACGCUGAGGCACGAAGGCCAGGGGAGCAAACGGG
rnacentral:rRNA from 1 species